UACGUAGGGGGCAAGGGUUGUUCGGAUUUACUGGGCGUAAAGGGCGCGUAGGCGGCGCGUAAAGUCUGGCAUGAAAUCAUUGGGCUUAACCCAAUGGCUGUGCCCGAUACUUGCGUGCUUAGAGUGCGGGAGAGGCAAUCGGACUUCUCGGUGUAGCGGUGAAAUGCGUAGAUAUCGAGAGGAACUCCAGGGACGAAGGUGGGUUGCUGGACCGACACUGACGCUGAGGCGCGAAAGCUUGGGGAGCAAACGGG
rnacentral:rRNA from 1 species